rnacentral:rRNA from 1 species
CCUACGGGAGGCAGCAGUAGGGAAUAUUGCACAAUGGGGGAAACCCUGAAGCAGCAACGCCGCGUGGAGGAUGAAGGUUUUCGGAUUGUAAACUCCUUUUGUUAGAGAAGAUAAUGACGGUAUCUAACGAAUAAGCACCGGCUAACUCCGUGCCAGCAGCCGCGGUAAUACGGAGGGUGCAAGCGUUACUCGGAAUCACUGGGCGUAAAGAGCGCGUAGGCGGGAUAGCAAGUCAGAUGUGAAAUCCUAUGGCUUAACCAUAGAACUGCAUUUGAAACUGUUAUUCUAGAGUAUAGGAGAGGUAGGUGGAAUUCUUGGUGUAGGGGUAAAAUCCGUAGAGAUCAAGAGGAAUACUCAUGGCGAAGGCGACCUGCUAGAACAUAACUGACGCUGAUGCGCGAAAGCGUGGGGAGCAAACAGGAUUAGAUACCCGGGUAGUC